UCCUGAAGAGCAAAAUGGGUGGGCUCGGCCUUACCCGCUCAGCAGGCUUUGAGCAGUGAACCUGAAAGUGUCCACGAGGAUCUGGUCCCUUGGCAGCUGAGCCUCCCAGACGCUGGGGUAGGGGAAUGGGCGGAGUGCUGCGCCGGGGCAGAGGAGACUCAUGGGUGCUCGUUUUCAGUUGCCCCGGGUUGGAACCCAGAUGCAAAACAAGCAACACGACCACACCUUCCCGCUCCUCGGCUGUGUAAGAGCCGAGGUUCAAAUCUCUCUGGAUCUAAAAUGACGGAAUCAUGAUCACCAUCAACACUGUCUGACGCUGUUUCUUCAGAAAGGGGACCUUUCAAGAAUCCUUCUGCACCUUCAGGGGAUUAGCAACAAAAAACAGAUUCUCACCCUGGAACUAGCUGGCCUGGAACUGGCUGCCCUCCAUUCACCUGCCCCUACCUUCUGAGUGCUGGGAUUAAAGGCAUAUGUGACCACUUUUGUCCCACUAUUUACUUCAUAAGAACAUCUCAGCCAGGCAUGAGGGUAUUCACAAACACUCUGGGGGCUAAGGCAGGACAUUGUCAAGAAUUCGAGGCCAGCCUGGCCUAUAACCUACUGAGUACCAGGCCAGGCUGGACUGCAGAGUGGGACCAUCUCAAAGAACCAAACAACCAUUUCAGGAAGCCAUAGUGUGCUGACUAAUUAUUUUAUUUAAUAUUUAAUUAUUCUGAGAGGAGGGAACCCCAACUAAGAAAAUGCUCAGAUAAGACUGGGCUGUCGGCAAGCCUGUAGAGUAUUUUCUUAAUUACCGAUUGAUAGUGGAAAGGCCUAUCCCACUGUGGGAGGUGCCACCUCCGGGUGGGUGGUCCUGGGUUCUAUAAAAAAGUAGGCUGAGCGAGCCCUGAGGAGCAAGCCAGUAAGCAGCACCUUCCAUCUUCCAUGGCAUCAGCUCUGCAUCAGCUCCUGCCUCCAGCUUCCUGCCCUGCUUGAGUUCCUGUUCUGACUUCUUCCAGUGAUGAACAGUGAUGUGGAAAAGUGAGCCAAAUAAACUGUUUCCU